UCGGGAAUUUUGUGCAAUGGGCGAAAGCCUGACCCAGCAACGCCGCGUGAGGGAUGAAGUAUUUCGGUAUGUAAACCUCGAAAGAAUGGGAAGAAUAAAUGACGGUACCAUUUAUAAGCUCCGGCUAACUACGUGCCAGCAGCCGCGGUAAUACGUAGGGAGCAAGCGUUGUUCGGAUUUACUGGGCGUAAAGGGCGCGUAGGCGGCGCGGUAAGUCACUUGUGAAAUCUCUGAGCUUAACUCAGAACGGCCAAGUGAUACUGCUGUGCUAGAGUGCGGAAGAGGCAACCGGAAUUCUUGGUGUCGCGGUUAAAUGCGUAGAUAUCAAGAGGAACACCUGAGGCGAAGGCGGGUUGCUGGGCCGACACUGACGCUGAUGCGCGAAAGCCAGGGGAGCAAACG
rnacentral:rRNA from 1 species